rnacentral:rRNA from 1 species
GACGAACGCUGGCGGCGUGCUUAACACAUGCAAGUCGAACGGAAAGGCCCUGCUUUUGUGGGGUGCUCGAGUGGAGACCGGGUGAGUAACCUGUGAGUAACCUGCCAUUGACUUUGGGAUAACUUCAGGCAACUGGGGCUAAUAGCGGAAAGGAGCUCCUGCUGCAUGGUGGGGGUUGGAAAGUUUCGGCGGUUGGGGAUGGACUCGCGGCCUAUCAGCUUGUUGGUUGGGUGGUGGCUUACCAAGGCUUUGAAGGGUAGCCGGCCUGCUAGGCUGACCGGCCACAUUGGGACUGAAAUACGGCCCAGACUCCUACGGGAGGCAGCAGUGGGGAAUAUUGCACAAUGGGCUGAAGCCUGAUGCAGCAACGCCGCGUGCGGGAUGACGGCCAGCGGGUUGUAAUCCGCUUUCGCCUGUGACGAAGCGUGAGUGACGGUAAUGGGUAAAGAAGCACCGGCUAACUACGUG